rnacentral:rRNA from 1 species
UACGUAGGGGGCAAGCAUUGUCCGGAAUCAUUGGGCGUAAAGCGCGUGUAGGCGGUCCGGUAAGUCCGCUGUGAAAGUCCAGGGCUCAACCCUGGGAUGCCGGUGGAUACUGUCGGGCUCGAGUCCGGAAGAGGCGAGUGGAAUUCCUGGUGUAGCGGUGAAAUGCGCAGAUAUCAGGAGGAACACCAAUGGCGAAGGCAGCUCGCUGGGACGUGACUGACGCUGAGACGCGAAAGCGUGGGGAGCAAACAGG